rnacentral:snRNA from 1 species
GUGCUCGCUUCGGCAGCACAUACUAAAAUUGGAACGAUACAGAGAAAAUUAGUAUGGCCCCUGCGCAAGGAUGACACGCAAAUUCGUGAAGCGUUCCGUAUUAAA